rnacentral:misc_RNA from 1 species
GAAACAGCCCCGAGAAGACUGUGGGAAGGCGUUUAAACCCAUUAAUAAAGAGGGUCAGAUGCCACAAGUCGACGCCACAGGGAAUCCGAACGCGCUUCUGCACAGUCACUUGUUCGCCGUCGCCAUGGCUGAUUCCGUGUUUACGUACGACGCCGCCUCGUGGUGUGUUACGCAAGAGAUGAAAGAUGCUUAUGACACCAACGGCUUCAUCCUCGUCAGAAACGCCUUCAGCCCCGAAGAAAUGAGGAAGGUGCGGGCGUUCGUGGAGGGCAGCGACGCCAUCCAAGAGCGAGCCUACAGCCGCGACGACGGCAAGAACCGACGGAGCCGCGUCACCCUGUGGAACCACCCGGGCAGAGACGUCCUCGGGGUGCUCGCCAGGACGCAGAGGGUGGCCGGAACCAUGGAGCAGGUGAUGGGCGGCCAGGAGGUGUACCACUACCACAGUAAACUCAUCAUGAAGGACGCACGUACGGGAGGCCGGCACGUCUGGCACCAAGACUAUGGAUACUGGUAUAAGAACGGCUGCCUGUAUCCGGACAUGGGCUCCGUGUUCAUCCCGAUCGACGACUGCACGAGGGAAAACGGCUGCCUGCAAGUCCUCAAGGGUUCUCACCGCCUCGGCCGCUUCGAUCACGUCAGGAUCGGCGAGCAGCUCGGGGCAGAGCCGGAGAGGGUGGAGAAGGCCAAGGAGCAGCUGGAACACCUCCACCUCGAGAUGAGUGCCGGAGACACCCUGUUCUUCCACUCCAACCUCCUCCACACCUCCGACCAGAACGCCUCCGAUCUCCGCCGCUGGGUGUUCAUCGUGGCGUUCAACCGGCGUUCAAAUAACCCUUAUAAGGAGCAUCACCACCCGCGCUACACGCCCAUGGCGAAGGUUCCGGACUCGGCGCUGCUUGAGUGUGGCGAAGGAAGCGACGACUCCAACGACCAGUGGUUCAUCAAACUCGACGAUGACAUUUCCAUUCGCGAGAGGGUUCACUGAGAGCUUCGAAGCCCAGAAUGAAAUGCGGUUCGAAGCCCACCAUGAAACGCGGUUCGAAGCCCAGAAUGAAAAGCGGUGCGAAGCCUAGGAUGAGAUGUUGUUCGAUGCUUAGAAUUGGAUGUUGUUCGAAGCCCAGAUUGAGGUGAGAAUCGAAGCCCGGAAUGAGAUAAGGUUCGAAGUCGAGAAAAGAGAUGAGGUUCGAGGCCUAGAACGGGAUGAAGUCAAGAUACUAUUCGAAGCCUUGAAUGAAAUUUAAGCCUAAAGUAUAGAUAAGUAAAUAGACUGAUAACUAGAUGAAUAUAGAAAGAUAGAUAAAUAAACAUACAGAUAGAUAUAGAUAUAACAAGGCUUUAAGUACACCUUUUUCCUUUUCUGGAGGAAGUCGAGAAUUAGAUAGGGUUCGAAAUGCGGUUCGUUCAAAAUCUUUGAAGUGAGAAUUAAACAUGGGCUUCGAACGAAAUGUAGUGGUUCUAUUGAGGUCCGAUAUGAGAUUCUUUCGAUUCUUUUGAUAUUUUCGACUUGGAAUUUACAGAAAUGUUGAAAAUAUAUUUUUUAAUAAUAAUAAUAAAUCUACGUUUUAUCUGACGCUUGCUUCGAACCGCGGAUCUAACAAUGAGAGAGAUUCGAAUCAUAUGAAAUGAAUAAAUUUGAGGCGAAGAAUAAUUUUACUUUUUCAUAUAGGUACGUUUUUGUUUUAUCUUUUUCGUAUCUUUUAGUUUUAUGAAUAAAUGAUGAUUGUUCA